UCGGGGCCCCGGGCGCAGGGGCCGGGGGCGCAGGGCCGGGAGGUCGCCUGAGCGCGGGAGCCGGACUGCCCACCACGACUCCCAGUGCUACGUUUUGUGCUUUGUUUGUUCCUCCCCUUCCCCGGAGCAGUUACGGUUUCCACGGAAGCCCCUCAGAGGGCCGGGUGGGCUUUGCCGGUCUGGCUGCCCCGAGACACCACGCAGUGGUGCCUCGGUGUCCUCUCCUCCCAGGCUGAGAUGCGGGUCCGCGCUCUCCCCCAGCCCAGGGAGGCUCUGCCCGCCGCCGGGUUCGGGCCUGGGCUACGGCGUCGGGAGGACAGGGGCAGCCGAGCCCCCAGAGUACACGUGGGACGUCUUAGGUAAGGUGGAAAGGCAGUGCGAGUCUGCUGUUGGGCCAUCUGGGUCCGAGAAAGUGAGGAGAAGCGUCCCGGUGCCCGUGGCAGGAGGUUGCCCUAUGGAAGGAGCGAGAUGGAAGAGGUCAGACCCCACAAAUGUGCGAGCUGCCAUGUUUCCUCCAGCUUAGAUGCUGUCUCAUGAGAUCAGUGUCCCUCCGGUGCCCCUCCCCAUGGACCGCUCACGGCUCGCUGAGCCACCCGGGAAAGAGUCUGCUUCAUCUUACCAUUUACCUCUAAUCUAACUGCAAACACAGCUUCUCCACUGAACUCCCAGUCCUCCCUGGGUCCUCAGGCCUGGGUCUGGUCUGGCACCGUCUGCCAGGGGCUGGUGGUCCCAGGUAAGGUCAUCUGAGCAUGGUGUUCUGAGAGUGUGUGUGUGAGUGUGACAGUGCGUGUGAGUGUGUAUGACUGAGUGUGUGUGUGUGAGCCUGUGUGCUCUGUGUGAAUGUGAGCGUCGCCUGUGGGCAUGGAAAUGGAUAUCUGUCCAAGGGGCGAGCGUGUGACACAGCACUAUAUGGGUGCCUUUGUCCCCUAGGGUGUCUGGGGGCAGACUUGCUCCUCUCCUCCCCGUGCUGAUGGUGCUGUGGCCCCCAGUGCCCUUCACUGUGGUGGAGCGACCAGGCUGGACCCCUGGAGUGAUUCCGCUCGGAGGCCCAGACAGCCUUGCUCAAGUCCUUUCUUGCCCCUUGGGAUGCUGGUUGGAUCAUUUCGUGUCCUAAAGUCUGUGUUUUCAUGGAUGAAACAGACUUGUGAGAGGCUAGUGGGCCCUGAGCAGCAUUCUCCGAGGGCAUCCCCAGGUGGCUGGGCCAGGGGUCAGUGGAACCGGACCCAUCUGAUGGAGGCCCUGGCCCCAGCCAGGCAUGUGGUUAUCCCCAGGGGUCCCCUCGCUCCCUGCACCAGGUAAGACGCAGAUUGGUAUGUAAAUGUCCUGGGAUGUGCCCAUGGUGGAAUUCUUGGAUUUUAGCCUUUCUAUCCCCCAGGCCAGUCUAAAUGCUGCCUUUGGCCUUCUCCGUGUUUAUUCUAAGUGUCCCAGGAUUCUGGGGCCAAAAAAGCCCAUUUGGAACAAAUAGCAGCCAAGUGCCUAUGCUCCCCACCCCCCGCCUCCUGAGAAAAACCCCUCAGCCCAGCAGAGGUUCCUAAGGUCCUUAAGGUUCCCCUUCCCCCAUGACUCCCUCCCUCCCCGCCAUCUUCUCGUUUCUCUCUCUCUGACCGUUCAUCUUAGGUUUGCAGAUGGUUCCAGGCCCCCCUGCCCACUCUGAAGACUGCCUUCACUCUGGGGACCUGGCUUCCUGCCUCCAGGAGCCAACCAGCAGCUUCCAGGCCAAGCGAAGUCUCCACGUGCGUCUCAGAUGAGACGAUGCCAGGGCAUUGCUCAGAAGGAUCCGGGGGCCUGAGCCCCUUUGUUUGUGAGACCCCCUCUUCUCUCCCCACUUUCCAUCCCACCAUCCCCCCUCAGCACCCCCAGGGUCCCUCCCACUUUGGGGGGAACCCAAAUGAAGACACAUGUCCCAUUUAAGCUCUAUGGAAUCAUCCUCGGUUAGUAUUUUUCUGGGAGAAAACAGUUACUUAGGCAGCACUUCUGAGGUAGAUCCGGGGCCAUGGUGCGGCCAGGGGGACACAAGGACCAGAGAGGACCACUGGCGCAGCAGGAAGCCCUCCCUGGGCAGCUGCUCUCCUGGGUGAAGAGCGUAGUGUGUGCUCCAUACCUGUCCCAGAACUACGGGGUCACAGCAGCCCCCUCCUUGGAGCUCACACCCACCUUGGCUGUUUUCAAAAGGCCGUCAUUGGUCUUGG